AUAUGGUGGCGACACCACCCAUUUUUUCCUACCCAAUCAUUAGGCCGUUACACAAAAAAAUUUAAUGUUUUAGGGAUGGAGGGACUGUAUAUGGCAGCACUGGUAUGCUUAUAUGGGUUAAAUAUGAGUCUUUGGAAAAUUAUUUUUUUAGUGGUUGAAGGAUAGGGGUUAAGCGAUAAUGAAUGGGUGGUGGCAACCUGUCAGGCUGCUCUUGUGGUGGAUGUGACCCAUCAAUCACAUGGUUCCAUUUCCUUCUAACAACUUGAAUUUGGCUUCACGAGGAAAAAAAAUGGGACCUUACAAACCAUGGUCCCCUCCCCUUAGCCAUUGUGCUAUAAAGAAAGAGAAGAAAAUAGCAAUUUAGGGAGAGAAGAGAGAAGAGAAAGAAAAGGGUUUAGCUGGAAAAAAAAAAGAAAUUAAUUUAGGAGAAAGAAGGGAGGAGAAUAAAUGUGUGUUUUAAGGUGUUUUUUUUAAAGAGAAAGUAACAAUUUAGGGAGAAGAGAAGAGUGUUUAGGAUUUUGAAAGGGGAUGAGACAAUAGAGUGUUUUGAACAGAGAAGAAGAGGCAAUUGCCAAAUUUCUUUUAAAGGAUGAGAGGCAACAACAAAUUUUAUUUUAAAGGUAUCCAAAUGGGUUCUUUGAUUACAUAAAAUUAUCACACAUCAAAUACGAUUAAUGCGCUGAUAAUAAUGGUCCGUACUGCGUAAUGAGGACCCGCGUCAACAGUCCGAGCUAUCAGUUGGAUGAAUGUCUUAUGCCAUAGUUGGAGGCAUCCGGAUUCAAAUUCAGAUUGACGGUAGUGUGGUCACAGGUGUAAGUACAAUGUUCGAACUGGCUGCGCUUUGUUAUCACUUACUAGGAUGCUUACCGAAUGAUGGUGGAGAUAAAUUUACGAGUUUGAGAUUUUCAUCGUUGAAGGGAAAUUUUGAAACUUUAUCGAGUAUUGCCACUAAGCGAGAGGUGAUGUGUGUCACUCUAGCAUAUAUAAUGCAUUUGAUAGAGGAUGUACUUAUGCUAGAUGCAAAGAGCAACAAGGUCUACUUGAUGUACUUGCCCCCUGUUAUCUGAUUUGACAGUUGCUCGUUCAUACAGUUCGGGUACAACAGUACUAGAAACAUUGUAUCGCGAGCUUGUCAGGCGACAAAGCACCAUUCUGUGGACAUUGACGGGUGUCCGAGAUUGCUGCAGUCUUAAGCGCUAUACAGGAUGCCACUUUGGCAUCAAUUAGUCACCAAACACACGUCUUCCCACUUGUGAAUAGGUGAAAAAAUUUAAGCAUUACAUCAAGAAUUUUUCUUUUUUAUGAAAAAUUGUUCUAACUAGUUAUUUUUUUCGUAAAUGGAGUACUUCUCCGAGUAUCAGGAGGUCGCAUAUGCUUCCGAUUUACCAACAGAUGACUGAGAAAAAUGCCGGAGAGGGGUUCAUCUAGAUGCCAUAUUCUAUCCCGAACAUUGUGGCUAUUAUUCCCCUAUUUGCUCACACUUGUGGUGCAUUAACGCACCAUUGCUGAAUUUCUCAACAAUCGAGUGGUACAACCGGGAUUGAGUAUUGUGACAGUUUGGGUUCAUAUAAGAUAUUUUGGAUGUUCCACAAAGUUUAGGGGAUGUCCACAGAAUUAACAAAAGGGAGAAACAGUCUAAGAAUUGGGUAUUAGAGUAUGAAGAAUAUCUUGUAUUGUGGAAUGACUAGAUGAGGCGAAGACCUCGGAUCGAUUUUGCUUUUUAUUUGCGACCCUCGAAGGAGAACCAAUGCUUUGUAUGUCAAGAAUGGGAAACUGUAUUCAUUUGGUGGGAAAUCGAUGCUAGUCCUUCCACAUAUGCAACAACAAGGGCACCUCUCCCACCGCCUAACACAUCCACCUCCUGCACCUAAACAUGAGCAUUCUUAUACAAAAUCUGGGGGUAGUUCUUAUCAUAUGGACUUGGGGGUAGAUAAUUAUUUUCCGAGUCUGUCAAGGACACAUAUUAGUUGGAGAUUAUUGGUUUCAAUUCUGAUCAUUCGAAUCCGAGAUCAUUGAUGAUGAUUGAUAUCUUCAGCCCAUUACCACCCCAGUACUCACUCUCUUGGGCAAACCUUUAGGACAUACGAUUUUUCGAGUAUGUUUAGCAUACCCCAAGGUUCGCCGAUGGAUGCUAUGAACAAUGUUUCGAGUGAAGAUAACAAUGAUCAUCGCGAGUACCCUCAACACCAAGACCGGGCACCAUAAUGGUUUACCCUUCGGACGACACCAUCGAACCAUCAAUUUUAGCACGUCAAACUUUAAGCCCAUUUCCACAGUUCUAUGGUACCCAACCACUUUCGGAAAAGAGUAUUCAUUUCACCAUGCAUAUCACCCUCAAGCCUGAUUAACCUUCACCUGGAAAGGUGUUGUUCUAGCUCGUACAUUGUGUAUGUAUUCCAAGAAGACAUGUUACCUUUUUUAGAUAAUUUGUAGAAGUAGUAAGAACAUUUUAAAAAUAUGUUGAAACUGAAAUUUACCCAUGUUCACUACUUGUUUCCACCAGUCUGUAUUCUUGUAAUCUCAGUGGAAAUUAGAGGCAAUUUGUCAGAUUUUGUAAA